CUGGCUUUUGUUUGUUUGUUUGUUUGUUUGCUCCCUUUUAUUGAUUUACUUUAUUGACUACUCGUAUACACUGUCAUAAAACUGCUCAGAGACACAAAGCUUGAAGAUCCAAACAGUAUUUAUUCAAGAGAUAUUCCACAAUCAAAGUCCAAAAACAGGCUAAGGUAGUAAAAGGAGUCCAAAAAAUAGCGACAGGGCACAAACACAGGCAAAGGGUAUCCAGAGACAUACAGGGAAAGACAACCAGGAACCAAGACACAGGAAAAACGAGGCAUAGAAAUGCAGACACAUACAAGACUUAUAAAUGACAAAAUGAACAAGGAUAAUAUAGGGUGAGCACAGGGUUAACCCUGAGUCCAGGUUAAGGAGACACAAGUGGCUAACAACCACUGCUGAGUCGGAAAAAGAUUAUGGGAAAUGAAGUCCAAGACUAAGUGACAGAGGUAUGGGUUGGAGUGCCCUCUUUUGGUUAUCAAGGGCACUCCAUCUGGUGAUUGUUUCACAGAUCAGUGAUAAAUUAAUGUAAUGUAUGCAUUUUACACCAAUUGGUAAUGGAAAUGUACAUGCAUCUGCUAUUUCCAUGAAUUAUUCAGCAUUUGUGAUUUGAAAAGUGUUUUAUACUCACCAAUAAAACAAUUUCACUUUCUAUGAAGCCCGUAUUUAUAAUAGUCAAGUCAAGUCAAGUCACUUUUAUUGUCACAUCACCACAGCACAUGUUCCUUGGUGAGUGAAAUUUGUGGUGUGGUUAUAGCUUUUAAGAGUAUGAUGAUUUAUAAUACACAAUGAACACAAUGCAUCCACUUAACUUACAAUGGAUUAUAUUUCCCAUAGUGUUAUAACUAUCAUAUCUUGCCAUUGUAAACUUGCUACUUUACUUAAAAGAGUAUAAAGACCACUUAUAAAUAAAAACAACAAUGACGACAACAGCAUAGCUGCAAGCAGCAAUUACGGGGCCAAGCACUCAAGCGGCAAAAUUAGGAGUUAAGCAUGGCAUGAAGCAUCAGACCAACUGUAACAAUGAGUAAUAAAAGCAAUUUUAGGAUGAUUGUAAUUGAAAUGGCUGAAAAAUCAUAAAUUCAAACUCUAGUAAUAUGAUUAAAUGGCUUAUCACUUUU
ensembl:lncRNA